rnacentral:rRNA from 1 species
UACAGAGGUCUCAAGCGUUGUUCGGAUUCAUUGGGCGUAAAGGGUGCGUAGGCGGCGGGGUCAGUCGGGUGUGAAAUCUUGGGGCUUAACCCCGAAACGGCACUCGAAACUGCCCGGCUGGAGGGCCGGAGAGGAGAUCGGAAUUCACGGUGUAGCAGUGAAAUGCGUAGAGAUCGUGAGGAAGACCCGUGGCGAAGGCGGAUCUCUGGACGGCUAACUGACGCUGAGGCGCGAAGGCCAGGGGAGCAAACGGG